rnacentral:lncRNA from 1 species
AUUACUCCUAAAUAAAACAGAGAAGAAGAGACGUGUCAUCUUCAGGCAAGUUUGUAGAAAGAUGGCUUUGGUACAGCUUGCAUGAUAAAAUGUAGAAGCAACCAGAGCGGGUUGGACUGAAUGUAGAGAAACCUUAAGUGUAAAUACUGGUGUGAACAUGCUCUUUUCCUACAAAAGAAGUCCUGGAAGUGUCAGGCAGAUGUGCUCAUAGGUGGGACUGAAGUGUCGACUUCUUUUUCUGAGCCACGGACAACCUUAAAAUACCUAUUAGCACUUGCAGAGGAGGUAAGCUGGUAAUUCAGAGCUGAGCACCUGCUUUUUUUGCUGUAGUAGUACAUAUCUGUCUGACACUAGUGAGAUGUUCAUGUCUUGAGACCAGCCCAGACUUUUGACACUUAGGGAAGAGAGGUUUUUAAUAUGGCUGAAACAAGGAAAGAGAAAUUAUACCCAUAAUAAAGAGGAAUGAAUUGAUAUAAAAAGAAGAACCUCUUGAUCUUAUUCACAACAGCUCCCUACCAGGGAUUCUCUAUAAACAUCCCUGGGGAUGCUUCUAGCUCACACUGGUGAGAGAAUCAUGCUGAAUGACAUUUUAAGGUAAGAAGAUAGACAUUUCCUUGUUUGUUUAUUUAUUUCACAUAUGAAUGUAUUUUAAAUUGCUGGCUAAAGGAAUGGGGAUAGUAAAACAUGCACAUGUGGAAAUGAUGUACUGAGAAAGUUCUGUGGUUUCAUAUGGAGAAAAAAGAUAGCAGCCAAUUCUAGCUCAGUAGGCAAGUAAUUAAGCCAGCAAUCUCUCUGUACAUUGUAUUCUAAGUUCAGUACAAAAGUAUGUAACAUAUGAUUUUUCUUUUAUUAUCUGCAGUUUGAUUUCAGGAAUGACCAUCACCACAGUCAUCAUUCAAAGGUGAAGAUAUUAGUUUAAACUUCAGCAAAAAUUGGUGCGUGCCUUGUUGCAAAAAGAGUACCAAUGGAGCCAGGCAUGGAAUCUUCCCUGAAGGCCACCAGUGUCUUCUGGCAGAGGCACCUUCUAAAAGGAUGCAGUGCAUAGUUGCCAGCUGCACAUACUUCUAUUUGUUAGACCAUCUUCAAACACUUAUGUUGAAUAUUUCAGAAUCAGAACUGGGAAUGGAUUUCCAUUCUUGGUUUUUGAAAAUCCCAGAGUCCUAGCAAGCUGUAAGUGAUCUGCUGCUUUGAAAAUGUGCUCAGUGCUAUCUUUAACCUAACUUAUUGUAAUGGCUUACCAGUAGGUUCAGGCUGGAAAAAACGUUGCCAAUAGUGAAAAUGAAAAAAUCUGCAGAUGCAGUAUUGGUGUAACUUGGGUAAUGCCUAGAGAGCCUGGCAGGUCUGAAAACCAGGUUACAAUACUUUUUUAAUCCUCUUUCUCCUUUUGCCAAAAAAACAGCAGUGUAACUCUAGUUCUACUCCUCCGCAUGCUGUAUUGAAUUUUAUCUGUUUUUAUUAAUGUGGUCAGUUUUUGUGCAAGUCUUUCCAUAAAUGAAAUUAAGUACAGAAAAUAAAGGAGAUAGAAAGAUCA